CCCAACCUUCCUUUAAUGGUCAUAAACCUUGUGUUUAAAUUUCAUAGAUUUCUAUUUAUUUUUACUCAAGUUAUAGUGCAAAAACCAAAUGUCUUCGGACAACGACGCCAACGCCAUAUCAAUAAACGACCAAAAAUUUUUCAAUUUUUGCGGUCUUACAAAAACAGACCAAAACACAAAAACUCAACACUGCGUAAUGAACUGUGAAAAUGAGGUCAAGGUCAAAUAAAACCUGUGCGACUGACAUAUACUAAGCUCAUUAUAUUUCCAAACAUCAAAUAUUGUUGACCUAUUGCAUAUAGUAUUAGAAAAAAGACCAAAACUCAAAACUUAACUAUAACCACUGAACCAUGAAAAUGAGGUCAAGGUCAGAGGACACCUGCCAGCUUGACAUGUACACACCUUACAAUUAUUACAUACACCAAAAUGAAGUAGACCUAUUGCAUAUAGUAUAAGAAAAACAGACCAAAACACAACAAGAGUGCACACGCUGAAAUGUCUCGCCUUCUAUACUAAUCAUUGAUAUUAUGUUGAUAGUCCUAAGUAUAAAGCUAAGCUUUAAUACAACUGUCACAUAAACUUA
rnacentral:lncRNA from 1 species